AGAGACAGCAGUAGCCGCGGGAAUACGGAGGGUGCGAGCGUUAAUCGGAAUUACUGGGCGUAAAGCGUACGCAGGCGGUUUGUUAAGUCAGAUGUGAAAUCCCCGGGCCUAACCUGGGAACUGCAUUUGAAACUGGCAGGCUAGAGUCUCGUAGAGGGGGGUAGAAUUCCAGGUGUAGCGGUGAAAUGCGUAGAGAUCUGGAGGAAUACCGGUGGCGAAGGCGGCCCCCUGGACGAAGACUGACGCUCAGGUACGAAAGCGUGGGGAGCAAACAGGAUUAGAUACCCCAGUAGUCCCUGUCUCUUAUAC
rnacentral:rRNA from 1 species